GACGAACGCUGGCGGCGUGCCUAAUACAUGCAAGUCGAGCGAAUCAAUAGGAGCUUGCUCCUGUUGGUUAGCGGCGGACGGGUGAGUAACACGUGGGCAACCUGCCUGUAAGACUGGGAUAACACCGGGAAACCGGUGCUAAUACCGGAUAAUCCUUUUCCUCUCAUGAGGAAAAGCUGAAAGUCGGUUUCGGCUGACACUUACAGAUGGGCCCGCGGCGCAUUAGCUAGUUGGUGAGGUAACGGCUCACCAAGGCGACGAUGCGUAGCCGACCUGGGAGGGUGAUCGGCCACACUGGGACUGAGACACGGCCCAGACUCCUACGGGAGGCAGCAGUAGGGAAUCUUCCACAAUGGACGAAAGUCUGAUGGAGCAACGCCGCGUGAGCGAUGAAGGCCUUCGGGUCGUAAAGCUCUGUUGUUAGGGAAGAACAAGUACCGGAGUAACUACCGGUACCUUGACGGUACCUAACCAGAAAGCCACGGCUAACUACGUGCCAGCCGCCGCAGUAAGAC
rnacentral:rRNA from 1 species